rnacentral:lncRNA from 1 species
CUAAGUUAAUAAUUGCUUCCAUACUUCAUCUUUUACAAAGAUCACACUAAAGAGUUUCUUACACUCUUUCUCACCCAAUUUUACACACAAACACUCUUUCCCUUCACAGCCAAAUUCUGUACAAUCAAAAUCAUGUAAAUAAAAUUGAUACGAUCAGAUCUUCUUUGAUCUUCAAACUCAAAGAAAAGUACAUUGAAAUCUAUUCAAAAAGAUGAUAUCUUUCCUUCCCGUCUAUGGAUCUUCAACCAAAGAAGAAGAAGAACAAGCGACUGUCCAUCCCCCUUCCUCCCCCUCGUUCUUUCCCCUGUCAAAAAUCAAACACCAAACGAACCAAUCUUUUCACCCUCCAUCGAUUUCUGUCAAAACAAGAACAAAAGAGUUUACACACAAAAGAAAACGUGUUUGUAAUUUUUUUUCUUAAUGGAAGCUGAAACCAAGAGAACAGCAGUCCUCUUUCGAUCAUUAUUCUUUCCCACUAAAUUCAGCACAUUUUUGCAUCAUCUUCCUUCCCUGUAGAAUGAAACAAACAAAAAACACCUUUUAUUCGAAAUUUCUGCCUGUUUCAUCAUCAUUUGUGUGGAUUGCAAAUCAAAAAAAAAAAAAAAAAAAAAAAAAAAAAUAACAGGAAGCAAGAAGGUUACCUGUCGAGCCUCACUGCCCCGUUCUUCCCUUCUUCGGUUCACUCAAACAACGAGGGUGUUUCCCCUUCUCACCCACGACUCAGCAGCCCCGGCACCUCCCCCUUUAUUCCUUUCCUUCGGUCUCUUCGACCCAGAGACUCCUCCCUCUCGCGAAUCAACCGACGAAGCGCGCCUGCGAGCUUUCGUCUUCCUUCGUUCUUUGCUUUCGUGCCCCUCUUCCUUGCUCAACGAAUCAGCCAGUCAUCAAGCCGUUGUUUUUUUCUCUCUACGUUCGUUUUCCUUUCCCAGCCGAUGACUUUUGUUGUUCCUCCGCUUUCCCGAUUCGUUGAAGUCAAUGGCAAUUAAAAGCCCUAAUUUUCCCUUAGUUUAGAACCUUAAACGCAAUUAGGUGUUUGCCUAAUCUUUUCAAAGGCAAAA